AUCUCAGCACUCGGGAGGCAGAGGCAGGCGGAUCUCUGUGAGUUCUGAAAGACCCCCAGAGUGGGGAGACCCUCACUCAAGCCUCGGGAUAAGCCGACGCCCCAACAAUUCAAGAGAGACC
rnacentral:pre_miRNA from 11 species